CCCCAGCAUGUGGCCCCAAAGUACAACCUCCCAGUUAAUUUUUGGAAUAAAUCUGAAGUUACUUGUAAACCAAAUCAUAUUUACUAAAUCUGAGUAAUAUAUAUUAAAAGUUGGAAUUUAGGGGGAGUUUCUGCAGCAGUCAGCAGUCUUUUCCAUCUACCAUAAUUCUCCAGGGGGAGUGGGGCUGGGCCCUUCCUUCCCUCAGCAGCCAGAAAGGCUGCGCCUCUUAAAAUGCCUCUCGUUUUAAAUGCCCAGGGCAAAGGAGAAAUGGAAAAGCCAUACCAGAAAGGACAGAGAGGCAGGUGAAGGGUAGAGUGAAACUUCAAGCUUGGAAAGCAUCUCAGCAUGCAGGAGUAAUGUAAUUUAAUGUUUUCAUUCACAAUACUCUUCUUUUUUUUUUACUCUACAAAUGUAAUGCAAUAAACAUUACAACUGUGUGUGAUCCGUUAUACUUAGUGAUAUAACUGCUUCUAAUGAAAAAAAAAAAAAGUACCCUGGUUCAUAGGCAAGGGGGAAGUGUACA